GGAAAUAUGCCCGAGCCAUUAAGGAAUACUUUGAUAGAGUACACCACAGGGGUUAAACUCCCCUUGUUUCCU
rnacentral:tRNA from 1 species